rnacentral:tRNA from 1 species
GGGGUUGUAUCUCAGUGGUAGAGCACUUGCCUAGCAUGUGUGAGGCACUGGGUUCGAUUCUCAGCACCUCA